UGAACAUACAGAAAGGGAAACUAAAUACGG
rnacentral:piRNA from 1 species